rnacentral:rRNA from 1 species
UACGGGGGGGGCAAGCGUUGUUCGGAAUUACUGGGCGUAAAGGGCUCGUAGGCGGCCAACUACGUCCGACGUGAAAUCCCCAGGCUUAACCUGGGAACUGCGUCGGAUACUGGAUGGCUUGAAUCCGGGAGAGGGAUGCGGAAUUCCAGGUGUAGCGGUGAAAUGCGUAGAUAUCUGGAGGAACACCGGUGGCGAAGGCGGCAUCCUGGACCGGUAUUGACGCUGAUGAGCGAAAGCCAGAGGAGCAAACGGG